rnacentral:rRNA from 1 species
AACGCGAAGAACCUUACCUGGGCUCGAACGGCUUCGGACAAACUGUGGAAACACGGUCUUCCCGCAAGGGACUGGAGUCGAGGUGCUGCAUGGCUGUCGUCAGCUCGUGUCGUGAGAUGUUGGGUUAAGUCCCGCAACGAGCGCAACCCUUGUCCUGUGUUGGCAUGCCGCAAGGCGCAACUCUCAGGAGACCGCCAGCGAUAAGCUGGAGGAAGGUGGGGAUGACGUCAAGUCAUCAUGGCCUUUAUGUCCAGGGCCACACACGUGCUACAAUGGGCGGUACAAAGCGCUGCCAACCCGCGAGGGGGAGCUAAUCGCCAAAAACCGUCCUCAGUUCGGAUUGCAGUCUGCAACUCGACUGCAUGAAGCUGGAAUCGCUAGUAAUGGCGUAUCAGAACGACGCCGUGAAUACGUUCCCGGGCCUUGUACACACCGCUCGCGA